UUUUCCAAGUCCCUUUAGUUAUAGGGUCAUUUGGGCUUUGAAACACAAGAAUAUUAGUUAUGAAUACAUAGAAGAAGAUCUUUCUAACAAAAGCCAACAUCUUUUGACAUAUAACCCUAUUUGUAAGAUGAUCCCAAUUCUUUUACAUAAUGGAAAACCAAUAGUUGAAUCCACAAUCAUUCUUGAAUACAUAGAAGAAACAUGGCCCCAAAAUCCUUUGUUCCCCAAGGAUCCUUAUAAAAGGCUAAGGCUAGAUUCUGGAUCAAGUUCGGAGAAGAUAAGCUCACAACCAAAGCAGUUCGAAAUCGAUGGUGCAUUGCCGUCGAUGAAGAAUUUGAAUUUUUUGUGAAAUGUACACAAGUGGUUCGAACCAGAGUAAGAGAGGCCUUCUAAAACGUAAAUUCUAGUGAACAGGUUUGCCUCUUUUACUUUAUUUUUCUGGAUAUAUGUUUAGCUUGGAUAGUAUCACAUCGUUUUUAAGGUAUGAAGACGAGAUUAGUUGAUUGUGUACUUUGUUUUUUAGCUAAAUUGGUUUGUGUGCUGCCAAAGGUAGGAUUCUUCGAACUAAAUUUAAUUACAAACAUUACAGUUGAUGAAAUCAGAUUACCAAAUCAUUUCAUACGAUAAUGUAGUUUCUAAAUUAGAAGUUAGCAUCUCGUCUGACCAACUUCAAUUGCCAACACAAAUAUGUGGUUUUUAGGAAUGUUAGCUAAGUCAAUUUUAUAGCAAAGUAAUCAGAGCUUAGCUUGUAUUACCUGUAGAAGUUUCAUCAAGUAAGUCAUAGUUUUGGAUGGUCUGAUGAUGAUAUACUCCACACUUGCCCUCUUGGAAGUUAGAAUUCAGAAAGCACUGAAUCUUUUCAUGAAGGAGCUUCGUGUUAAAUCUGCUUACUUGGUUUCUUACCCUACACUUUUGAUGCAUAGUUUGGAAAAAAGAGUGUUAUCUCGGAUGGAAGUCUUGAAAACUUUUGGACGAAAAGAAGCUUAAGAGGAGAGAGUUGAUGCUCUAUAUUGUUGUCAGUUCAUAGAGUAUAUAAUUUGUGCUGCCCUACAACGAUAAGAUACCUGAUAUGUAUGAACCACUCAAGAAAAUUGUGCUCCUUUUUUGGCCUUUUUCUUUUCAUAGUGAAUUCUGAAAAACAGGAUCGGUGUUGCAAAAAAUCAUUUAUGGAGUUGGGGCAUAGUUUAUUGAAAGACUGAAUUGUUGUGAGCUCUAUGCAAAAUCAAGGUUUCCAUUUGAUGCUGUUCGGAUUCAAGUGAUCUUGUUGAUAACUGAUUCCUUUGGCGAUUACCAGCAGCUUUGUCCCCGAAGACGACCAAAUUUUUUUCUGUUGUGCAAUUUGUCCCAUAACUUGCAGUGCAUAAUCAUAGUGAACUUACCUCACUAGUGUGUUUCAUUUUCUUUAUGAAACCCCCUCCCAAAAGAAAGGCUGCCGCACAUAUAUAGGAUUGUUUUUCUUACAAGUCUUUGGCUACAGAUUAAUUUAUUAGUUUGCUAUAAUAUGCAUUGUUUUUACUAUUUCCUGCUGCAAUGGAAGAAAGGCUUACUGUCGAUGUAACUAAUUACAGAGUGAACGUGCAAAGUUCAGAUGGAGGAUAAAUUUCUUCCUCGAAAAAGCAUUUAAUGUGGCGUCUAUUCCCCUAAGAGCCCAAGAAGAUCACCAUAUGGAUCUUACCAACGAAGAUCAUGCGAGUCCUCGUUGAAUGCUAUUUCUUGAAUAUGUUGUGGUUGAUUUUUUUUUCAAAUAAACAAGCUUUAAGCG